GACGAACGCUGGCGGCGUGCUUAACACAUGCAAGUCGAACGGUAAGGCCCUUCGGGGUACACGAGUGGCGAACGGGUGAGUAACACGUGGGUGAUCUGCCCUGCACUUCGGGAUAAGCCUGGAAACUGGGUCUAAUACCGGAUAGGACCCUGGGAUGCAUGUCCUGGGGUGGAAAGCUUUUGCGGUGUGGGAUGGGCCCGCGGCCUAUCAGCUUGUUGGUGGGGUGAUGGCCUACCAAGGCGACGACGGGUAGCCGGGCUGAGGGGGUGACCGGCCACAAUGGGACUGAGCUACGGCCCAGACUCCUACGGGGGGCAGCAGUGGGGAAUAUUGCACAAUGGGCGCAAGCCUGAUGCGGCGACGCCGCGUGAGGGAUGACGGCCUUCGGGUUGUAAACCUCUUUCAGCACCGACGAAGCGCAAGUGACGGUAGGUGCAGAAGAAGGACCGGCCAACUACGUGCCAGCCGCCGCGGUAA
rnacentral:rRNA from 1 species